rnacentral:rRNA from 1 species
UAGGGAAUAUUGGACAAUGGGCGCAAGCCUGAUCCAGCCAUGCCGCGUGAGUGAAGAAGGCCCUCGGGUUGUAAAGCUCUUUUGUCCGGAAAGAAAAGCAUCGGGUUAAUACCCCGGUGUUCUGACGGUACCGGAAGAAUAAGCACCGGCUAACUUCGUGCCAGCAGCCGCGGUAAUACGAAGGGUGCAAGCGUUACUCGGAAUUACUGGGCGUAAAGCGUGCGUAGGUGGUUCGUUAAGUCGGAUGUGAAAGCCCUGGGCUCAACCUGGGAAUGGCAUUGGAAACUGGCGGACUGGAGUGCGGUAGAGGGUAGCGGAAUUCCCGGUGUAGCAGUGAAAUGCGUAGAGAUCGGGAGGAACAUCCGUGGCGAAGGCGGCUACCUGGACCAGCACUGACACUGAGGCACGAAAGCGUGGGGAGCAAACA